UCAGCAGAGAACAUCGCUAACAGGUCGGCCGAAUCCCUCCAGGCAGACCUAAAGAAUGGAAAAUUGAGUGCACUUGAAGUACUUCAUGCUUUCCAGCGAAAGGCCUUUGAAGUCAACGAAAAGAUCAACUGUAUCACAGAACCAUUACCUGAAGCGGAGGAAAGAGCAAAGGAACUGGAUCAAAAGGCUGACAAAAGUGGUCUUCUCUUUGGUUUACCUGUUAGUGUGAAGGAAAGUGUGAAUAUUAAGGGCUAUGACACCACAGCUGGACUGGAAGUUUUUAUUGACAAAAUCAUGGAGGAAGAUGCUGUAGUCAUUCAG